rnacentral:rRNA from 1 species
AAGCUUCUAGCGUUAAUAUUUGACUGCCCGUACUGUAAACCGACACAGGUGGUCAGGAUGAGAAAUCUAAGGCGGACAGGCUAACUCUCGUUAAGGAACUCUGCAAAAUAACCUCGUAACUUCGGGAGAAGAGGAGCCCUUGUGUGUGAGUAUACAUGCGAUACAAAGCGCACGAGGGUCGCAGUGAAGAGGCUCAAGCAACUGUUUAACAAAAACACAGGUCUAUGCUAAGCUGUAAGGCGAUGUAUAUGGGCUGACACCUGCCCAGUGCUGGAAGGUUAAGAGGAGGAGUGAGAGCUCCGAAUUGAAGCCCCAGUGAACGGCGGCCGUAACUAUAACGGUCCUAAGGUAGCGAAAUUCCUUGUCGGGUAAGUUCCGACCUGCACGAAUGGUGUAAUGAUUUGAGCGCUGUCUUGACGGGAGGCCUGGUGAAAUUGUAUUACCGGUGAAGAUACCGGUUACCUACAGUAGGACGGAAAGACCCCAUGGAGCUUUACUGUAGCUUGGUAUUGGGUUUUGGCAUUGCAUGUAUAGGAUAGUUGGGAGACUAUGAAGGUAUGGCGCUAGCUGUAUCGGAGUCAUCGGUGGAAUACCAACCAUUCAAUGCUGAAAUUCUAAUCUGUGGUUUGAAGCCACGGAGACAGUGCUAGGUGGGCAGUUUGACUGGGGCGGUCGCCUCCGAAAGAGUAACGGAGGCGUUCAAAGGUUCUCUCAGGUUGGAUGGAAAUCAACCAUAGAGUGCAAUGGCAUAAGAGAGCUUGACUGCAAGACUGACGGGUCGAGCAGAUGCGAAAGCAGGACAUAGUGAUCCGGCGAUUCCGAAUGGAAGGGUCGUCGCUCAACGGAUAAAAGCUACCCUGGGGAUAACAGGCUGAUCCUACCCGAGAGUCCAUAUCGACGGUAGGGUUUGGCACCUCGAUGUCGGCUCAUCGCAUCCUGGGGCUGGAGAAGGUCCCAAGGGUUGGGCUGUUCGCCCAUUAAAGCGGUACGUGAGCUGGGUUCAGAACGUCGUGAGACAGUUCGGUCCCUAUCCACUGUAGGCGUUAGAAUAUUGAGAAGACCUGUCCUUAGUACGAGAGGACCGGGAUGGACAAACCUCUGAUGUACCAGUUGUCACGCCAGUGGCACAGCUGGGUAGUCACGUUUGGAAUAGAUAACCGCUGAAAGCAUCUAAGCGGGAAACUAACUUCAAGAUAAGUAUUCUUUAAGAUACCUUCGAGCCUAGGAGGUUGAUAGGUUGGGGGUGUAAGUACAGCAAUGUAUUUAGCUGACCAAUACUAAUUAUCGAAGUUUUAAUC